rnacentral:tRNA from 1 species
GGGGAUAUAGCUCAGUUGGUAAAGUGACGUCCUUGCCUGAACAAGGCCCUGAGUUCAAUCCUCAGCAACCCCC